AGCAUGCCGGCCCACGGCCCAGCUCGCCCGUUAUUCCAGAAACGUUUUCAACAAUACAUGACAACAAAGUUCAGAUGCGGUAGAGGCGACGACGUUGUCACUCGAGCGUACAAUAUGCCGGUAGCGAGGUCAGCUAGACCAAGUGCGGCGCCGUCGUCCAGACCGAGCGAGGCGCGUACGAGCCAUGGGCAGUGGGGGGAGGGUUCGCGUACUAGAACGACAUUUCCACGACAUGACUCAUCUCUGCCACUUCAUCGCUCUUCUUCGGUGCAGCUUCGUCGGGGGUAGACAUCUCAGGACUAUGGCACGGGCUUGGAUUCGAUGCCCGAGCAGACUCUUUCCCCUAACCCAUAUGCGCACACAGGAUAUGAUGCAUACACCCAAGGUGAGGGAUCUCAGUCGUAUCUCUCCAUGCGAGGGAUCUUCAUGCCCGAGGAGACUCGUGUACCAGAUUUAAACCAGCACCACGUACCAUGGCCAGACAGUACAAGCGAGGGAUCUGAUCAGGUAGUCAUGUUUACAUUUUAAUGCAUUUACAAUGUUAUCAUAUAUUAUCCUCUAACAGUUUGUUUAUAAUGUUUCUAUGUGCAGGACAUACCUGAUGUUAAUUGGGGCGAUGAGAACACCAAACGUGGCGUCAACACAGGCGUCCUGGGAGCAUCAUAUGAUCAUGGCGACCCGGUUACAUCAUUAGUUACAUAGUUCUUCGGAGGGGAUGUUAUUGGCCCAUCUUUUAUCCCAGGGGCGGCGCUAGGGGUAUUUUUGGGUCCUCAUGUCAAUACGCAUGAUUUUUACAAAAUAGUGUUGAUUUUGGCAAAACAAUGACAAUUUUCAAAAAACAGCAAUGAUUUUGGCAAAAUGAAUACACAUGAAUACCCGGUUGCAAAUUCCUGGAGCCGGCACUGUUUUAUCCCCGCGGAGUCACAACCAUACGCCUACAAUUACGCUUCAGGUUCGCAACAAGGAUUCGUGACUACACCACCUAGGCAGGACUCGCAGACCAAGCUUCAAAAUAUCGGAUAUCGGGUCCGUAUCAGUAUGGCUCUGACAUAUCGGAUGUCGGAUAUCGGAUGAUAUAUCGGACGGUAUGUAGAUAUAUCGGUGAACACCUGUCUAGUUUUUUUCAUUAUUCUUGUUCAAAACAUUUACUUUUAGUAAAAGAAAUUGUAUGAUGUCAUUACUUUAACAUAACAUUUUUAGGUUCCUAGUUUACUAACUUGUUGAUUAAGAAACAAUUAAGGAAAGAUUCACAAAAUCGUUAC
rnacentral:lncRNA from 1 species